rnacentral:rRNA from 1 species
CAGUAGCCGCGGGAAUACGAAGGGGGCUAGCGUUGCUCGGAAUGACUGGGCGUAAAGGGCGCGUAGGCGGCAUAUACAGUCAAGCGUGAAAUUCCCGGGCUUAACCUGGGGGCUGCGUUUGAUACGUAUGAGCUAGAGUAUGGCAGAGGGGGGUAGAAUUCCACGUGUAGCAGUGAAAUGCGUAGAGAUGUGGAGGAAUACCGAUGGCGAAGGCAGCCCCCUGGGCCAAUACCGACGCUCAUGCACGAAAGCGUGGGGAGCAAACAGGAUUAGAUACCCCAGUAGUCCCUGUCUCUUAUAA